rnacentral:rRNA from 1 species
AGAUUGAACGCUGGCGGCAGGCCUAACACAUGCAAGUCGAGCGGUAGAGAGGUGCUUGCACCUCUUGAGAGCGGCGGACGGGUGAGUAAUGCCUAGGAAUCUGCCUAGUGGUGGGGGAUAACGUUCGGAAACGGACGCUAAUACCGCAUACGUCCUACGGGAGAAAGCGGGGGACCUUCGGGCCUCGCGCCAUUAGAUGAGCCUAGGUCGGAUUAGCUAGUUGGUGAGGUAAUGGCUCACCAAGGCGACGAUCCGUAACUGGGUCUGAGAGGAUGAUCAGUCACACUGGAACUGAGACACGGUCCAGACCUCCCA